GAUACCUAGGGGGGCAGCAGUGAGGAAUAUUGGUCAAUGGUCGGGAGACUGAACCAGCCAAGCCGCGUGAGGGAUGAAGGUACAGAGUAUCGUAAACCUCUUUUGUCAGGGAACAAAGGCGGGGACGUGUCCCCGGAUGAGUGUACCUGAAGAAAAAGCAUCAGCUAACUCCGUGCCAGCAGCCGCGGUAAUACGGAGGAUGCGAGCGUUAUCCGGAUUUAUUGGGUUUAAAGGGUGCGCAGGCGGUCUGUUAAGUCAGCGGUCAAAUCCCGGGGCUCAACCCCCGCCCGCCGUUGAA
rnacentral:rRNA from 1 species